GAGAUGUUUCUGUAAUUCUGUCACUCCUCAGCUAAAGCACACACUUUUUCCUUAUUUCCUCUCUUAAGGGCAACUAUCAGCUCGAUGCUGUGGCCAUUACCCUGGGACCUGCAGGCAGCCAGCACCCAGUUUGACCAGCAGACAGACCAGAAGGGCUGACAGGGAUCUCAUUGCUGGGAAGCCAAUAACAGAGAAGUGACAGGGUUGGGUGCCCAUGUCCUUAGAGCAUUUUUGGAGUCUGAUUCUUCCCUAACAGAAGAUUCAGUGUGGAUUUGCAGGUUAUCCUGCUGCUCAGCAGAGAUGCCAUUGCUUCUCAUGUGUGUGCAAAACUUGGCUCACACUAGAGAAUCACCCACUGGGUGAAGAAGCUGAAGAACAAGAAUCUGUGUGCUGCUUAUGUGAAGACAGCAAGCAAGCCUGCAAGAGGCAUGGCACAUCCAUUCAGACAGAGCCUAUCUUGGCAUCUCUUCUGUUCAUUCUUGUACCAAAAAAAAAAAAAAACUUCAAGAAAAAGAACACUUCUGAGAGAUAUCCACACCCAUGAACAGAUGUAUAAGUGGAACAGCAGUUAGCUAUGAUAAAUUCUCAAGAGAGAUUUUGUAAACCCACAUUUGGCCAGGAUUAUCCUAGCCACGUAGUUUGUCUCCCAAGAAAACUGUUGGACAGCUGAUUUCUUUCUUGGAGCACAUGGCUGGGUUGCUUUGUUGUUUUUUUGUUUUGUUUUGUUUUGUUUUUUCCCAUCUCUCUCCCUUGGGCACUCAGUGGAAUAGCACUACGUACCAGUAUUUCAG
rnacentral:lncRNA from 1 species